GGUUAACUGCCCGCCGUUACAUGACUGAAAUACUGUUGGAAAACGGCGUUAAACCCAAAACAAAACAAAAAAAAAUACUUUAAAAAACACAACAUUUUUCAGCUCAAAUAACUCUUUUUCAAAAAUUGAUUUGUAAGUAUUUUUGGACUGUGUACUCUGAUGCAUUUAGCUACACAUAUAUCUUAAACCAAUAGCGUUUAGUUUGAGUUCAAAUUUUUAAUCACAAUGCCUACUAAGACUGGUUAAUUGUAAAUACAACAUUAAGCUUAUUACGUCAUUAAACAUUUUCAACUCGGUAAAAAUAUGUUUCAAACUACGUUAUGAAUAAUUGAAUAGCCUUAUCAAAUCUAAUUUUCAUUUCCGUAAAUUCUUUUCUCAUCUCCAUGCACAUGAAUAUUAAACACACACACACACGCGCGCGCGCGCGCGCACACACACAUACACACACAAAUAUGUAACUAAGUACCAAACACUAACCAAACUGAACCUGGAACCUCUUCAUUCUAAGCAAGGAUGUAACCGCUGGAGGAAAUCUACUGUUGCUUAGGUAAUAAUAUACAAACACUAAGAUCGCUAGAAUUUAUUUGUUUUCUUCAGACCAUAUGGCUUUGAUUAUAUUCCUUACUGCGUCAAAUUUACUAGGAACAGUUCCUCAUUACCAAUAUUGAAUUUAUAUUCAAUUUGCUAGUACUGUUUUUUUCCUACAACUUUAUCAUUUAAUAACAGACAUAAAACUACGUUUUGGAUACAUUUGUUUACUGGUUUGUAGUAACAGAUUGGCCUUCUACAAAUUUAUGAUAACCAAUUUUAGUUGAAGUGAGCCUCAACACCGCCGUCCAUUUUGUGUCUAACAGAAGGUAAGUACAAUUAGUAUAAAGGAUAUGCCAAAUAAUUAUAAUUAUUCUAUGCUCUUCUGUGAAAUACUGAAAUUUAUCAGUGAAAUAAAAUUGAUAUUUGCACUGUAUGAAACAGAGAAAAUAUCAUUUUUGUUUUUCACUGAUACGGAACUACAUUUGAAUGCGAAAUGAUAUGAAUUAUAAAUGAUAGGAAUUUCCUUGCAAAAAUGUCUUCAGUAAACGUAAAGAUGUAUAAGAAGAAUAACAGGAUCAUAAAUAUUUACAUUUUAUCACAAUGAAAUGUAAAAGAAAUCAGGAAAUGUAAUAGAACUAUUUAUAGUUUUUCUACAAAGACAUCCUGACGUUACAACAUUAUGACGUUAUGAUGCGAUGCACGUGACGUUGCAGCGGACAAACUCGUGAACACUAUAAUUUACAUUUUCACGAGUGGCUGCGCCACUCGUGAAAAUAUUGCAUUUUAGUGUUUACUCGGUGAAAUAUAUUUCGAUCUUACACUAAAACAAACAACUAUCCUCUAUUAAUAUCAAGUUCACAUUAUACUGGACAAAGCGUGAUUAUCACCUGUGUAUUUUAACUUUCUUUUCGUGCAUAUCUGCAUGUCGUCUGCUAAAAAUGAUAUAAUCGUAAUAUGAAUAUGUUACGAAACAUGCAUAUAAGGCGAUGGCAUGAAAUAUAUACACACUUUAAAGCAAGCUUCCUCUGUUGGAUAUACGUUACAAAACAUUACAUACUACGAUGCAGCUGGAUAAAUCAAAGACUUUUAUUUUAGUUGCAUUAGCAGCAAGAGUUUCCAGUGUGCCUGAAGAAGGAUGGAGAGAAGUUUCUGUACAAUUAGAAAAGGCCAAUGGAUCUGCGUCUAUUGCGGCGGUCUAUCUCGGUGUUCAAUAUAUUAGCAUGUUGAAAGCAUACUAAAAGAUAGAUGCAGACAAAGGCUCACACAUUUAUUAGGUAUUCUUUAUAGCAGAGUCUAUAGAAGGAGAGCAACAAGAAUGUCAAAGAAAAAGUUUUAUGGUCUCAAGUUGUAGAGAAAGUUACCAGUGCAAGUUGCGGCCCUGUUGCAGAGUGAGGAUAUUGAAAAUGUGUAUUGUUAUUUUAAUGUAAAAGCGACAGGGAAAUUAAAUAUUGCAAAAGGAAAUCUUAAAACAUAUCUCUGAUAUCCUAGUUUAAAAGAAAACUUUUUAUAUUGAUAAAUCAUGAUAAGUCUGGUUAAAAUUAUAGUUAGUCACUGAGAGAUUCCUCAGCCAUGUUCGAAAUCAAAACCUUUGUUUCCGCAAUUUAGUUUCAUCCAAACGGCAUCAAAUUGGAGAGUAAUAGGAGAAACCUCUGCUCAUAAAUAUAUGCUUAUCUUCUGUA
rnacentral:lncRNA from 1 species